rnacentral:rRNA from 1 species
AGAGUUUGAUCAUGGCUCAGAACGUACGCUGGCGGCACGCCUAACACAUGCAAGUCGAACGCAGUAGCAAUACUGAGUGGCAAACGGGUGAGUAUAAUGUGGGAAUCUGCCUUUUGGUUUGGAAUAACACGGGGAAACUUGUGCUAAUACCGAAUAAGCCCUUACGGGGAAAGUUUUAAUGCCGAAAGAUGAGCCCGCACUUGAUUAGCUAGUUGGUAAGGUAAAAGCUUACCAAGGCAAUGAUCAAUAGCUGUUCUUAGAGGAAGACCAGCCACAUUGGGACUGAGACACGGCCCAGACUCCUACGGGAGGCAGCAGUGGGGAAUCUUGCACAAUGGGGGAAACCCUGAUGCAGCGAUGCCGCGUGAGUGAAGAAGGCCUUUGGGUUGUAAAACUCUUUCGUCGGGGAAGAAAAUGACUGUACCCGAAUAAGAAGGUCCGGCUAACUUCGUGCCAGCAGCCGCGGUAAUACGAAGGGACCUAGCGUAGUUCGGAAUUACUGGGCUUAAAGAGCUCGUAGGUGGUUAAAAAAGUUGAUGGUGAAAUCCCAAGGCUCAACCUUGGAACUGCCAUCAAAACUUUUUAGCUAGAGUGUGAUAGAGGUAAGUGGAAUUUCUAGUGUAGAGGUGAAAUUCGUAGAUAUUAGAAAGAACACCAAAUGCGAAGGCAACUUACUGGGUCACUACUGACACUGAGGAGCUAAAGCAUGGGUAGCGAAGAGGAUUAGAUACCCUCGUAGUCCAUGCCGUAAACGAUGUGUGCUAGACGUUGGAAAUAUAUUUUUCAGUGUCGCAGCGAAAGCAUUAAGCACACCGCCUGGGGAGUACGACCGCAAGGUUAAAACUCAAAUGAAUUGACGGGGACCCGCACAAGCAGUGGAGCAUGUG